CUGAUGGCGACCGGCGCACGGGUGAGUAACACGUAUCCAACCUGCCGAUAACUCGGGGAUAGCCUUUCGAAAGAAAGAUUAAUACCCGAUGGUAUAAUAAAGCCGCAUGGUUUAAUUAUUAAAGAAUUUCGGUUAUCGAUGGGGAUGCGUUCCAUUAGGCAGUUGGUGAGGUAACGGCUCACCAAACCUUCGAUGGAUAGGGGUUCUGAGAGGAAGGUCCCCCACAUUGGAACUGAGACACGGUCCAA
rnacentral:rRNA from 1 species